AGCGAACGCUGGCGGUAGGCCUAACACAUGCAAGUCGAACGGCAACACAGUACGAGCUUGCUCUUCCGGGUGGCGAGUGGCGGACGGGUGAGGAAUACAUCGGAAUCUACUUUUUCGUGGAGCAUAACGUAGGGAAACUUACGCUAAUAUCGCAUACGACCUACGGGUGUAAGCAGUGGAUCUUCGGACCUUGCGCGAUUGAAUGAGCCGCGGUCGGAUUAGCUAGUUGGCGGGGUAAAGGCCCACCAAGGCGACGAUCCGUAGCUGGACUGAGAGGAUGAUCAGCCACACGGGAAGUGGAACACGGUCAAGGCGACUGAGGGAGGGACCAGUGGGGAAUAUGGGACAGUGGGGGCAAGCCUGAUCCAGCGAGACCGAGUGGGUGAAGAAGGCGUUGGGUUUGUAAAGCCCGUUUGUGGGGAAAGAAAAGCAGCAGGUUAAGACGCCGCUGUUGUGACGGUACCGAAAAAAGAAGCACCGGCUAACUACGUG
rnacentral:rRNA from 1 species